rnacentral:rRNA from 1 species
UACGAAGGGGGCUAGCGUUGUUCGGAAUCACUGGGCGUAAAGCGCACGUAGGCGGAUUGUUAAGUCGGGGGUGAAAUCCUGAGGCUCAACCUCAGAACUGCCUCCGAUACUGGCAAUCUCGAGUUCGGAAGAGGUCGGUGGAACAGCUAGUGUAGAGGUGAAAUUCGUAGAUAUUCGCAAGAACACCAGUGGCGAAGGCGGCUCACUGGCCCGGUACUGACGCUGAGAUACGAAAGCGUGGGGAGCAAACAGG